GGUUUAACACAAUACAACGUCAUUUCAUACUUACAAUAUCAUCUUUGUUUAUUACAGUAUUUUAUUAUAUUAUAUUCAUGCAUUAUAACGAAUUUUAUCAUUGGUUAUUUUGAUAUCAUGUCUCGAAGUAUAAAAAUGCGGAUUGACCUGUACAUUCUAAAAAUAAGCUUUAAAAACUCGGAUUGACCUGUACUUUCUAAAUAUAGAUAAGGGAAAUUUUGCUCUAAUGUUAAAAUGAAUUUGAUUGGCUGGCGUGAUUCACCCCAACCAAUCAAAAUUCUCUCUGCGUUAACAAACAACAAAGAUGGAAGUUGCAGACGUUAAAGUGAAAGGUCGUUUUGCGAAAAUUAAUGACGCGGAAAUGAAAGUUAUAAUGGAAAAUGUUUAUGCCAGGAACACUAAUACAGGGUAACUGCAACAGCUGUUAAGCUUUUUCUGGAAUAUCUCGAGUCGAAAGGCGAGAGCCGAGACUUCGUAAAUUUCGAGUGCGAAAAGCUAGCUAAAUUUUACAUGGACGCUAGAACGAAGGAUGGAGAUAUGUAAAAAAAGACUUCGAAAAUAAUAUAACGAAUGUAGCCCUUUCGCUCGGUCGAUCCAUAGAUAUAUCGCAUUCACAGAAAAGCAUAUCGACCUCGCACUUCGUGCUCGGUCGAUAUGCUUUUCUGUGAAGUCGAUAUAUCUAUGGAUCUACCUCAUGAAAGGGCUAUAUUUGUAUAGUAUUAUAUGAUAUAUAUUGUAUGAUAGGAUGCAAUAUUUAAUUUUAUAUUCUUAUAUUGACUAACAUAUGAACAUAUGAUUAUCAUAUAAUUUUUUAACAGAUGAUAUAUGAUUUUGUGUCAAAACAGAAUCCAUGAAUAUCCAAGAUCAUAAAGUAUGAUUUUCAUUUAAUAUGAUAAAGGUGGUCUCAUAAAGGUGAUGUCUCAUAAGGGUGAUGUCUCGUCGCGGUGAGCUUUGUAAUCUGUGAUUACCUAUGUUUCUAAUUUCAGGAGAAGUCUCCCUUGAUAAAGUUCAACAAUGGCGGAUAAACAAUGUGGGAUGCUGUCUUGUCAACAACAGUGAAAUUUGACACCUGUAUACCCGUAUUUCUACCAAUUGUCUCAGUCUUCUUUGUUGUGUACAUCAGACAGUUUUUGUCUGAGCAAUUACGUGGCCUUAAAAGGUCUUCUUCUGAGAUUUCCACGAGUUUGAUGUAUAUUCGCUGCGUCGUUUUGACGUCAAAAUUUAAGGUAAAGUCGUUGUUAAAUUUCUAUUGUUCUCUAAAUUAUUUGUAAUACAACGGAGCCUCAGUUAUCCGGACACUUUCGUUCUCAAGUCCAAUCGUCCAGAUAAGUGAAGCGUCCGGAUAUCUGAAAUGUGUCUAUUGUUGUCUUGAAUGAUAAUGUAUUUGUAUGUACAAUGGCUCCCAGUGUUGAUACUAGUUUUUUUUGCCUUUCAUACCAUAUAGCAACACAUGCUAGAGUUGUCUGUUGAUAUGAACGUUUUUAUAGAUAUAAAGAACUCUGCUUUAUUUUAUUAUUUUGUCAUGAAAUAUUAACCGGACAUUAAUGAUAACCGAAUCUAGCUAAAUUAUUUGUGUCCAAGUGUGAUAUGUGUAAGAUACACUGUUGUUCGCAAUUUUCCAAAUUUUGAAAGUGAUUUGGGAAGUCAGUGUGUUUAUACAAGCUACUCAUGAGGGUCUUGCACGUAAAAAAGGUGUGAAACUUAAUUGACAGGGGUAAUCUUUUGUACUGAGUAGGGUAUCAUCAAAUUUUACCGUCCGGUUAAAUGAAGCAAGAUUAGUAGUAAAUUAGUGUUUUGUGGUAAAAACAGACCGUCCAGAUCCGGAACGCGGAAUUCUGGAUAAAUGAGGCAAAAUAACAUAUAAAAAAUCUGUUCCCAAAUAAAAUCGUCCGUAAACUGAAGCGUCCGGUUAUCUGGCAUCCGGAUAUCUGAGGCCCCACUGUAUAUCUGUAUUUCAACCCAAACAUAUUAAGUGAAACGAUCAAAAAAUAGUUGCAGAAAAUAGCAAAAUGAACUUAUUUAAUUUGACUUCUUUUAUCAUUAGCUGUAAGUCUGCGGAAACUUAGAAAGAAGAUGUUCAGGUUUUUUUAAUCUCCAAGUUCAUACUGCGCCGGAUACCCCGACCACUGACUUGUUUAACUAAACAAACUAUUAAAUAUUCUUUUAAUAUUACUUGUUGAGGGUUCUUCAAUGUUUAUGCCAAUUUUCACCAAAAUUCAUCAUUUAGAAGGGGAAAUAUUCCAGCUGUCUCAAUAAUUUCUGAAAAACCCUUGUACAUACACCCCCUACCCACCUACCCAUGAUGAUCUUCCCCCCCUUUCCACACUUUGCUACUUCCUGUUUAAUUUUGGAUCUGUUGGGGAUUUACGUUAAGUGUCUUUAGACUUUUUAUUGUAGAGCUGAUAUCUUUUAGAUCUGUAGAAUUUAUAUUUUAAUUAUAGUUUUGUUUCAUUUAAAGUAAUUUUGCCCAAUUUUCUGUUGUUUUAGAUGAUGGACCACUCUACUUCUUUUGACAACAGGUGCCCCUACAGAUUCACAAAGUUCCAAUGUUGAAUGUCCAUGACCCUGGUUGAUCCGCGACAGGAAAAGGAAUAAAGUUGGCAGGAAUUUCCGCACUGUCUUUGGUAGCAGCUGAUGAUGGAACUGACAGCAGUUGACAUGGCCUGUUUCUUCAAAGAUGCACCAGAAGCAGCAGCACUAUCUCCAUCACUGGUGAAAUGGGAAAUGACAAGUGGACGGUCAUCACUUUGCAGCUCAACGAUGCAUUCCGCAGCCCAUCUCUUUUCAUCUUCUAUGGUGUUCUCAGGAGGAAUGGUUGC